rnacentral:rRNA from 1 species
AUACUCAGGAGUGAGGGCUGGGGUGCUAAGGUCACAGUCCGAGAGGGAAACAACCCAGACCAUCGUCUAAGGUCCCCAAAUAUGUGCUAAGUUGUAUAAACGAGGUCGAACUGCUUUGACAGCUAGGAUGUUGGCUUGGAAGCAGCCAUUCAUUUAAAGAGUGCGUAACAGCUCACUAGUCGAGCGGUUUGGCAUGGACAAUAAUCGGGCAUAAGCACAUUACCGAAGACAUGGAUUCCACGUAAGUGGACUGGUAGGGGAGCAUUCUGUAUGCGUAGAAGGUUAGCUGUGAGGUUGGCUGGAGCGUACAGAAAAGAAAAUGUAGGCAUAAGUAACGAUAAUGCAGGCGAGAAACCUGCACACCGAAAGACUAAGGUUUCCUGGGCUAUGUUAAUCAUCCCAGGGUUAGUCGGGACCUAAG